rnacentral:lncRNA from 1 species
CCUGCAACCACCUCCUACCCACAGCCGUGUCCACGCGGCUCUGCAGCAACUCACACCCGAGUGCUGCCUGUGGUAAAGAGGCUGCCCCUUAAGGUCGUCGGGAUCUGGGGAAGAGCAGGGGCUGCUCUAGGACCCCGUCAUGUCACAAAUGCCAAGACUGAGUGCUACCGGCCGGAGCGAUGAUUCACAAGGUUUCAGAAGCCCCUGGUGACCACGGGGCCAACGGGCAGAGGCCAUCUCUGGUUCCGUCCUAGGUUCAAGCCCCCGCAACCUGGAGGACUGCCAAGCACCUGUGCCCAGGUCCGCUUCCCUAAAACUGGGCCACUGCAGCGGUGCAUGCAGGACGCGCAGCUGUCAAGAGCCACAGAACUCAUACAGGACUGGACAGUCACAGCCUCCCGUUGGAAGACUGCUGCAUGAGCUCACCGAUUGAGCAGCCGCGCAGCCAACGCGGUCUACUUGGUUUUUCUCAUGAGCCUAAAACAGUAAGUCCACUCAUUAAAAACAAGGGCUGAGGGACCCAUUCUCACCUGGUGGUGUUCUUGGACGAGUCCAGCAGGAUCCUGGGCAGGGCCUGGCCUUGCUGCUGUCAGACCUAAGGCGCUGUGACAGGCCCUCCCUCCUGGGGACACAGGUACCUCUGGAUUCCUGAAGGUCUCUGAAGCAGGAAUUUCCAGAUUUCCCUCCUCCUGAUGAGCCACCAGCCAGCCAUGGGAUGGCUGGGGUCACGUCCCAGUGAGCAUUUCUCCAGUUAAAACCAGCAGGAGGCCACAGCGGUACUGCCCCCCACGCACAGCUGGAAGGAGCUGGGCAUCCUGGCAUCCGGAGCAACACUUGGGGACUUCCCACACGCACUGUCCUCCAACAGCAGAGGGGGUGCGGAAGGUGCAGGACCCGGACCUGCUGGAGUCACAAAGACGAGGAGGGACUUUGCGGAGGGACACUGCCUGCCCCCCGCCACCCCCAGGUGACAGCAGCCAAGGGGCCAGGUGCCUUCCACGGGCUCUGUCAUGGGAGCAGCGGUGCCAGCAGCCCCAGCACAACUCAGCAGGUGGACACUGUGGGGAGGGCAGGAUGCUCGCCCAGGGGGCCACCCGCCCCACCCCAUGGUCCACGCCGGAGAGUGUGGGGAGGGACAAGGCUGUGGCCCAAGGUCAGGCCAGCAUCAAGCUUCACUGGUCACGUGUCUUCAUCAAAAAACGUCUACCAGGUGCCAC